UUGAACGCUGGCGGCAUGCUUUACACAUGCAAGUCGAACGGCAGCACGGGUGCUUGCACCUGGUGGCGAGUGGCGAACGGGUGAGUAAUGCAUCGGAACGUGCCCAUGAGUGGGGGAUAGCCCGGCGAAAGCCGGAUUAAUACCGCAUACGCCCUUAGGGGGAAAGCGGGGGGAUCUUCGGACCUCGCGCUAUUGGAGCGGCCGAUGUCGGAUUAGCUAGUAGGUGGGGUAAAGGCUCACCUAGGCGACGAUCCGUAGCUGGUCUGAGAGGAUGAUCAGCCACACUGGGACUGAGACACGGCCCAGACUCCUACGGGAGGCAGCAGUGGGGAAUUUUGGACAAUGGGCGAAAGCCUGAUCCAGCCAUGCCGCGUGAGUGAAGAAGGCCUUCGGGUUGUAAAGCUCUUUCAGGUGAGAAGAAAUGGCGCUGUUUAAUAGAUGGCGUCGAUGACGGUAUCACCAGAAGAAGCAUCGGCUAACUACGUG
rnacentral:rRNA from 1 species